rnacentral:rRNA from 1 species
AUUGAACGCUGGCGGCAGGCUUAACACAUGCAAGUCGAGCGGAGUGAUGGUGCUUGCACUAUCACUUAGCGGCGGACGGGUGAGUAAUGCUUAGGAAUCUGCCUAUUAGUGGGGGACAACAUCUCGCAAGGGAUGCUAAUACCGCAUACGUCCUACGGGAGAAAGCAGGGGAUCACUUGUGACCUUGCGCUAAUAGAUGAGCCUAAGUCGGAUUGGCUAGUUGGUGGGGUAAGGGCCUACCAAGGCGACGAUCUGCAGCGGGUCUGAGAGGAUGGUCCGCCACACUGGGACUGAGACACGGCCCAGACUCCUACGGGAGGCAGCAGUGGGGAAUAUUGGACAAUGGGGGGAACCCUGAUCCAGCCAUGCCGCGUGUGUGAAGAAGGCCUUAUGGUUGUAAAGCACUUUAAGCGAGGAGGAGGCUCUUUUGGUUAAUACCCAAGAUGAGUGGACGUUACUCGCAGAAUAAGCACCGGCUAACUCUGUGCCAGCCGCCGCCGUAA